rnacentral:rRNA from 1 species
UACAGAGGUCCCAAGCGUUGUUCGGAUUCACUGGGCGUAAAGGGUGCGUAGGUGGUGAGGCAAGUUCGGUGUGAAAUCUCCGGGCUUAACCCGGAAAUGGCAUUGAAAACUGCCCUGCUAGAGGGUUGGAAGGGAGACUGGAAUUCUUGGUGUAGCAGUGAAAUGCGUAGAUAUCAAGAGGAACACCAGUGGCGAAGGCGAGUCUCUGGACAACAACUGACACUGAGGCACGAAAGCUAGGGGAGCAAACAGG